rnacentral:misc_RNA from 1 species
GAUGAAGAACGCAGUGAAAUGCGAUAAGUAGUGUGAAUUGCAGAAUUCCGUGAAUCAUCGAAUCUUUGAACGCACAUUGCGCCUCCUGGUAGUCCGGGAGGCAUGCCUGUUCGAGCGUCACCAAAUCCAACUCAAGCGGUUUUGCGCUUGGUCGUGGCGGAAGAGUCGGUCUGGUUGCCGUCUCCCCUCCGAAAAUCAACGGCGGAAAGUCACUGGCAGUCAGCGUAGUAGUAUCGUUCGCCGAACAUCCAGUGGCAUUCCUGCCGACGUACCCCCACAAUUCUCGUGAUUGACCUCGGAUCAGGUAGGGAUACCCGCUGAACUUAAGCAUAUCAAUAAGCGGAGGA